rnacentral:rRNA from 2 species
GCUUCUGAUUGAUAACAUUUGAGUGAGUGGCGGACGGGUGAGUAACACGUGGGUAACCUGCCCUAAAGUGGGGGAUAACAUUUGGAAACAGAUGCUAAUACCGCAUAAAACCUAGCACCGCAUGGUGCAAGGUUGAAAGAUGGUUUCGGCUAUCACUUUAGGAUGGACCCGCGGUGCAUUAGUUAGUUGGUGAGGUAAAGGCUCACCAAGACCGUGAUGCAUAGCCGACCUGAGAGGGUAAUCGGCCACACUGGGACUGAGACACGGCCCAGACUCCUACGGGAGGCAGCAGUAGGGAAUCUUCCACAAUGGACGAAAGUCUGAUGGAGCAACGCCGCGUGAGUGAAGAAGGUUUUCGGAUCGUAAAACUCUGUUGUUGGAGAAGAACGUAUUUGAUAGUAACUGAUCAGGUAGUGACGGUAUCCAACCAGAAAGCCACGGCUAACUACGUGCCAGCAGCCGCGGUAAUACGUAGGUGGCAAGCGUUGUCCGGAUUUAUUGGGCGUAAAGCGAGCGCAGGCGGUUUCUUAAGUCUGAUGUGAAAGCCUUCGGCUCAACCGAAGAAGUGCAUCGGAAACUGGGAAACUUGAGUGCAGAAGAGGACAGUGGAACUCCAUGUGUAGCGGUGAAAUGCGUAGAUAUAUGGAAGAACACCAGUGGCGAAGGCGGCUGUCUGGUCUGUAACUGACGCUGAGGCUCGAAAGCAUGGGUAGCAAACAGGAUUAGAUACCCUGGUAGUCCAUGCCGUAAACGAUGAGUGCUAGGUGUUGGAGGGUUUCCGCCCUUCAGUGCCGCAGCUAACGCAUUAAGCACUCCGCCUGGGGAGUACGACCGCAAGGUUGAAACUCAAAGGAAUUGACGGGGGCCCGCACAAGCGGUGGAGCAUGUGGUUUAAUUCGAAGCAACGCGAAGAACCUUACCAGGUCUUGACAUCCUUUGACCACUCUAGAGAUAGAGCUUUCCCUUCGGGGACAAAGUGACAGGUGGUGCAUGGUUGUCGUCAGCUCGUGUCGUGAGAUGUUGGGUUAAGUCCCGCAACGAGCGCAACCCUUAUUACUAGUUGCCAGCAUUUAGUUGGGCACUCUAGUGAGACUGCCGGUGACAAACCGGAGGAAGGUGGGGACGACGUCAAAUCAUCAUGCCCCUUAUGACCUGGGCUACACACGUGCUACAAUGGAUGGUACAACGAGUCGCGAGACCGCGAGGUUUAGCUAAUCUCUUAAAACCAUUCUCAGUUCGGAUUGUAGGCUGCAACUCGCCUACAUGAAGCCGGAAUCGCUAGUAAUCGCGGAUCAGCAUGCCGCGGUGAAUACGUUCCCGGGCCUUGUACACACCGCCCGUCACACCAUGAGAGUUUGUA